rnacentral:snRNA from 1 species
AGCUACGCACUGAGCACAUAGCAACAUAGCAAAAUAUUCUUUUGCCUUUUAGUAUAGAAUACCGUGUGCUUGCUCCAAUUCAAGUAGCAUAUGCCUCUUUUUGGAGGGUUUAUUUCCUUUUAAGAAU